rnacentral:tRNA from 1 species
GGGGCUGUGGUGUAACGGUUGCACAUCGGACUUUUAAUCCGAGCAGUGAGGGUUCGAAUCCCUCCGGCCCCA